rnacentral:rRNA from 1 species
GUGGGGAAUAUUGGACAAUGGGCGCAAGCCUGAUCCAGCCAUACCGCGUGGGUGAAGAAGGCCUUCGGGUUGUAAAGCCCUUUUGUUGGGAAAGAAAUCCUAUCGAUUAAUACUCGGUGGGGAUGACGGUACCCAAAGAAUAAGCACCGGCUAACUUCGUGCCAGCAGCCGCGGUAAUACGAAGGGUGCAAGCGUUACUCGGAAUUACUGGGCGUAAAGCGUGCGUAGGUGGUUGUUUAAGUCUGCUGUGAAAGCCCUGGGCUCAACCUGGGAAUUGCAGUGGAUACUGGGCAACUAGAGUGUGGUAGAGGGAUGCGGAAUUUCUGGUGUAGCAGUGAAAUGCGUAGAGAUCAGAAGGAACAUCCGUGGCGAAGGCGGCAUCCUGGGCCAACACUGACACUGAGGCACGAAAGCGUGGGGAGCAAACAGGAUUAGAUACCCUUGUAGUCC